rnacentral:rRNA from 1 species
GAUGAACGCUGGCGGCGUGCCUAAUACAUGCAAGUCGAGCGAACAGACGAGGAGCUUGCUCCUCUGACGUUAGCGGCGGACGGGUGAGUAACACGUGGAUAACCUACCUAUAAGACUGGGAUAACUUCGGGAAACCGGAGCUAAUACCGGAUAAUAUAUUGAACCGCAUGGUUCAAUAGUGAAAGACGGUUUUGCUGUCACUUAUAGAUGGAUCCGCGCCGCAUUAGCUAGUUGGUAAGGUAACGGCUUACCAAGGCAACGAUGCGUAGCCGACCUGAGAGGGUGAUCGGCCACACUGGAACUGAGACACGGUACAGACACCUACGGGAGGCAGCAGUAGGGAAUCUUCCGCACAGGGCGAAAGCUUGACGGAGCAACGCCGCGUGAGUGAUGAAGGUCUUCGGAUCGUAAAACUCUGUUAUUAGGGAAGAACAAAUGUGUAAGUAACGAUGCACGUCUUGACGGUACCUAAUCAGAAAGCCACGGCUAACUACGU